UCUCCGUAGGUGAACCUGCGGAGGGAUCAUUACUGAGUGAGGGCUCACGCCCGACCUCCAACCCUUUGUGAACACAUCUUGUUGUUUCGGGGGCGACCCUGCCGGCAUUUUGUCGCCGGGCGCCCCCGAAGGUCUCCAAACCCUGCAUCUUUGCGUCGGAGUUUAAAACAAAUUAAACAAAACUUUCAACAACGGAUCUCUUGGUUCUGGCAUCGAUGAAGAACGCAGC
rnacentral:misc_RNA from 1 species